UUAAGUAAGGAAGGGCGUACGGCGAAUGCCUGGCCACUCGAAACUGAAGAAGGACGCGCCAAACUGCGAAAAGCUCCGUGAAGCUGUAAGGAAGCGAAGAAGCGGAGGUGUCCGAAUGGGGGAACCCGGCAGCAGACAUGAGCUGUCAUCUGCAGGUGAAUACAUGGCCUGCAAGAGAGGUACCCGGCGAACUGAAACAUCUAAGUAGCCGGAGGAAAAGAAAACAACAGUGAUUCCCUGAGUAGCGGCGAGCGAAAGGGGAGAAGCCCAAACCGGUUGAAGGACCGGGGUUGAAGGACCAUGACAUGGCAAGAACGAGGAUAGGAGAACGGGAUCGAAAGCCCGGCCGAAGAAGGUGAAAGCCCUGUAACCGAAAUCCGAGCAAAGCCUAAUGGGAUCCUGAGUACGGCGAGACACGAGGAAUCUUGUCGGAAGCAGGCGGGACCAUCCGCCAAGGCUAAAUAUAAACGAGUGAGCGAUAGUGAACCAGUACCGUGAGGGAAAGGUGAAAAGAACCGCGGGAGCGGAGUGAAAGAGAACCUGAAACCGUAUGCCUACAAGAAGUCAGAGCCCGUUAAGGGGUGAUGGCGUGCCUUUUGUAGAAUGAACCGGCGAGUUGCGACAGACUGCGAGGUUAAGGAGGAAAGACCGGAGCCGAAGCGAAAGCGAGUCUUAAGAGGGCGAAAGUAGGAUGUUGCAGACCCGAAACCGGGUGAUCUAGCCAUGAGCAGGUUGAAGUUGAGGUGAAACUCAAUGGAGGACCGAACCGACUACCGUUGAAAAGUUAGCGGAUGACUUGUGGCUAGGGGAGAAAUUCCAAUCGAACCCGGAGAUAGCUGGUUCUCCCCGAAAUAGCUUUAGGGCUAGCGUCGGAAAGAACCUUAGUGAAGGUAGAGCACUGAAUGUGUGAUGGCCCCAUCCCGGGGUACUGAAUACAAUCAAACUGCGAAUGUCAUUAAGGAUGUCCGGCAGUCAGACUGUGAGUGAUAAGGUCCAUGGUCAAGAGGGAAACAGCCCAGACCGCCAGUUAAGGUCCCAAAAUACAGGCUAAGUGGAAAAGGAUGUGGGGAUGCCCAGACAACUAGGAGGUUGGCUCAGAAGCAGCCAUCCUUUAAAGAGUGCGUAACAGCUCACUAGUCGAGUGACCCUGCGCCGAAAAUGUACCGGGGCUAAGCCUGAUACCGAAACUGCGGAUUGUAGGAAACUAUAGUGGUAGGGGAGCGUUGUAUACGAGCAGAAGCCGUACCGUGAGGAGCGGUGGAUUGUAUAGAAGUGAGAAUGCCGGUGUGAGUAGCGAGAUGUAGGUGAGAAUCCUACACACCGAAAGCCCAAGGAUUCCAGGGGAAGGUUCGUCCGCCCUGGGUAAGUCGGGACCUAACGCGAGGCCGAAAGGCGUAGUGGAUGGAAAGCAGGCGAAAGAUUCCUGCACCCGUAUAUGGAGCGAAGGAGUGACGGAGACGGAUAGUGUGACCCUCUUAAUGGAUUGAGGGCGAAGCGAAGCGGCUGGUUACCAGGCAAAUCCGGUAACCAAAAGGCUAGAGCGUGACAGGUAAGCGAAAUCCAAGGAAAGUAGCGAAGCACAUGAUGACGGCUUCCAGGAAAAGCUUCUGGCAAUGCAUAUGCGGCCCGUACCAAAACCGACACAGGUGGGCAGGGAGAGAAUCCCGAGGUGAGCGAGAGAACUGUUGCCAAGGAACUCGGCAAAAUGACUCCGUAAGUUAGCGAGAAGGAGUGCUUAAGCAAUUAAGCCGCAGUGAAGAGGCCCAAGCGACUGUUUAACUAAAACACAGCUCUCUGCGAAGUCGCAAGACGAAGUAUAGGGGGUGACACCUGCCCGGUGCUGGAAGGUUAAGAGGAUCUGUUAAGAGCGAUCUGAAGCAGUGAUCCGAAGCCCCAGUGAACGGCGGCCGUAACUAUAACGGUCCUAAGGUAGCGAAAUUCCUUGUCAGGUAAGUUCUGACCCGCACGAAAGGUGUAACGAUUUGGGCGCUGUCUCGGCAGCAGACUCGGUGAAAUCUUAGUACCUGUGAAAAUGCAGGUUACCCGCAACUAGACGGAAAGACCCCAUGGAGCUUUACUGCAGCCUGAUAUUGAAUUCUGGUCAUACAUGUACAGGAUAGGUGGGAGACAAAGAGACGUGCACGCCAGUGUACGAGGAGUCGACGUUGGGAUACCACUCUUGUGUGACCGGGGUUCUAACCUGGUAUCGAGAACAGGUACGGGGAGAGUGUCAGGUGGGCAGUUUGACUGGGGCGGUCGCCUCCCAAAGAGUAACGGAGGCGCCCAAAGGUA
rnacentral:rRNA from 1 species